AGACAUCUGUUCUGAACUGAGAGAAGCGAUUCCGCUGCAUAUAGCGGCAUUUCAAGCUUCUCAGUUCAGCUUUUUAACAAUAUAACGCGUAACUAGCUAUUUGUACUGCUACAUGCAGUGUAUAUGUAAUUUAUUGUAUUUAUAUAUAGCUAAUUGUAUUUACAAUUUUAGAGUCUAUUUAUCAAGCUGAAAUGACAACCAUGUUGAUGCUUUUGCUGCCCGUAUUGGUCGCAUCAAUUUUUGGCGAGUCCUCCGUUUAUUUCCGAGAAGAAUUUGAGGAUGGAGAUGCAUGGAAAAGCCGAUGGGUGGAAUCCAAACACAAGUCAGAUUAUGGGAAGUUUGUUCAUACUGCUGGCAAAUUCUAUGGUGAUGUAGAGAGAAACAAAGGUCUUCAAACCAGCCAGGAUGCUCGCUUUUACUCUGCAUCCUCCCGCUUUGAGUCUGUCAGCAACAAAGACCAGGCACUGGUAAUCCAGUUCACUGUGAAACAUGAGCAGAACAUUGACUGUGGUGGAGGCUACAUCAAGCUGUUCCCAGCUGAUCUCAACCAGGAGGAAAUGCAUGGAGAUUCCACAUACAACAUCAUGUUUGGUCCUGACAUCUGUGGUCCAGGUACUAAGAAAGUUCAUGUGAUCUUCAACUACAAAGGCAAGAAUCACUUAAUCAACAAAGACAUAAGAUGCAAGGAUGAUGAAUAUACCCACCUGUACACACUGAUAGUCAAUCCGGGUAACACCUACGAGGUGAAAAUCGACAACAAGAAAGUUGAGUCUGGAAGCCUAGAGGAGGACUGGGACUUCCUUCCCCCCAAGAAGAUAAAGGACCCUGAUGCUGAGAAGCCAGAUGACUGGGAUGAGAAGGAGAACAUUGAUGAUCCUGAAGACAAGAAACCGGAUGAUUGGGAUGUUGCUGAGAACAUCCCUGACCCUGAUGCCAAGAAGCCUGAUGACUGGGAUGAUGAGAUGGACGGUGAGUGGGAGCCUCCCAUGGUCACGAACCCGGACUAUAAGGGGGAGUGGAAACCCAAACAGAUUGACAAUCCUGCCUACAAGGGGAAAUGGGUGCACCCUGAAAUUGACAACCCAGAAUACACUGCUGACCCUGAAAUCUACCAAUAUGCCAGCAUGGGGGUGAUUGGAUUGGAUUUGUGGCAGGUAAAGUCGGGCACUAUUUUUGACAAUUUCCUCAUCACCAAUGACCCAAAACUUGCAGAAGAAGUGGGGAACGAGACAUGGGGUGCAACAAAGGACCUUGAAAAGAAGAUGAAGGACAGUCUGGAAGAGGAGGAGAGAAAGAAACGUGAUGCAGAAGAGGUGAAUAUAAAGGAGGAAGAUGAAGAUAAAGAGGAGAGGGAUGAGGAAGGAGAUUACGAUGAAGAGGAAGAAAGAGGGAGAAACAGACUCUAAACUCAAGGAUGAGUUAUAAACUCAAACAGGAACUUUUGAAAAGGAACCUUGUCUACUAUGAGCCAUUGGUGCAAGGCUGGAGAUUGGGCUUUAUUGGACAUUCUGUUAGUCAUUGAAGCUGCACAUUUAUAUUUUGAUGUGAAGCUAUUGUUUUAAUUACAUGACAAGGGAAUGGGUACAAACUGACUAAGGACAGCAAUUAUAUUGUCUGUUGCUAUGGGAUUUCAGAUUUGUCAAGGUUGGAGAUGUUAAAGAUUUUUUAAAUCUUUAGAUUUGAGACAAGUGUUGUCUGGCAGUGGUGUUAUGCCAGCAAUUGUUUUUUAGAAGUGAACUCUCCUCUGUAAACAAAGCUCUACUGCUAACCUUAAAUAGUUUUCUUACUUAAGGAUAAUGACCAUCUACAAUUUCCUGACUAAUCUUUACAGAAAAUAGUGUAUUGUUGGUCUUAAUCGGACACAUUUUUGUGCCUGUACCCCAAAGAGGGGUGUGUGGCAUUAAGAUGACAUCCCUCUUGUGUAUUGGAUAUGGCGUGAAAGUCUAAUGCUUUUCAUUUUCUGCAUAUGAUUUUCAACAGUGCUGAGCGAUUACCAGAAAUGUUGACUUUUUCGGUUUUCAAACAACUAAGGGACUGACGAAUGCAAUUUUAAUUAAAUUUGUUUAUUUUUCUCAAUGGGCACAUUGGAGAAACUUCAAAGAUACAUCUGAUCCUGCCUGCACUGUGCGAUGUUGUAGUUCCCAACAUUCUACUACUUAGUUUAAAAAUAAAAAUAUUUAAACUACAAUGACCCAUUGCGCACCUACCUGUCGGGUCUGUUUCUUUUACGCCUGCUACGGAAGGGGCAGAAAUGCGAGAUCGUGAGGGGUUAUAGAGAGCACCUGUUGCUCUGCGACGUGUCUCUACCUGACAAUACAGGAUCUAAGUGAUCGUCAUAAAUGUCUUUACUUUGAACUACAUUUAAAAAAAGUUGUUUAGAUGGCAUAUGCAGCAGCUAUGUAGACAUGUGAGAGAGUCGUCAAAUAAAACACUGAAAUAUUGUAACGUGAGAUUAUGGUUAACUGAUAAGCAGUAACGAACAGUCACUACCAUCAAUACUAUUAAUUGUUUCAUUAUGUUACAGCAGUCAACACAAAUAAUCGAACUAGAAAACCAUGGUUACUGUUUAAUAAACAAACCGAUACCUGAUCCGACCUCAAAGCACUAUCGUUCAGCACAGAGGUGUGCUUGAUUUAGGGUAACUGUACUAUUUUUUUUAAUUUUUUAUCACGAAUGGAACUGCUCAAGCACAUUCAGGCUACCGUAAAUCAAAUUUUAUGAAAAAUAAAUCAGAUUGCAUGUAUAAAGACGUUCAGAUAUUCUAAAACCCGAAGCAGGAGGGAGUGAUGUCAGUCUCUUGAUAUGUUUAUUUUGGGGGCAAUGUCAAUUUAUGUUGUGAUAUUACCCGUUUGGUUUUUAAUGCCAACGUUUCUGCACUGCUGUACCCUCGAGACUUGUCCCAAGCUGAUUGGAUCUUGACCCUUUUGUAAAACGUAUUUUGUACUGGGGAGGAUAUGGAUGGAUCAUUUAAUUGUGCAAGAAAUUCUGAUACACAUAUUACUGUCCAAUAAAACAAAGGAAGUGAGCGUGACUCAA